rnacentral:rRNA from 1 species
GUCCACGCCUUAAACUAUGGAUACUAAGUGUCGGCGGGUUACCGCCGGUGCCGCAGCUAACGCAGUAAGUAUCCCGCCUGGGAAGUACGGCCGCAAGGUUGAAACUCAAAGGAAUUGACGGGGGCCCGCACAAGCGGUGGAGCAUGUGGUUUAAUUCGACGCAACGCGAAGAACCUUACCCAGGCUGGACAUGCAGGUAGUAGGAGGGUGAAAGCCCAACGAGGUAGCAAUACCAGCCUGCUCAGGUGCUGCAUGGCUGUCGU